UGAGGAACAUGACCUUCGGCGGGGGAUAGCCGGCCCAACGGCCGGGUAAUACCGCGUACGACCACAUGGGGACAUCCCUGAGUGGUGAAAGCAGCAAUGCGCCGAAAGAGUGCCUCGCGGCCUAUCAGCUAGUUGGUGAGGUAACGGCUCACCAAGGCAACGAUGCGUAGCCGACCUGAGAGGGUGAUCGGCCACAGUUGGAACUGAGACACGGUCCAGACUCCGUAGGGACGG
rnacentral:rRNA from 1 species